rnacentral:rRNA from 1 species
UACGUAGGGCGCAAGCGUUGUCCGGAAUUAUUGGGCGUAAAGAGCUCGUAGGCGGCCUGUUGCGUCCGCUGUGAAAACCCGGGGCUUAACCCCCGGGCUUGCAGUGGAUACGGGCAGGCUGGAGGCAGGCAGGGGAGAACGGAAUUCCCGGUGUAGCGGUGAAAUGCGCAGAUAUCGGGGAGGAACACCGGGUGGCGAAGGCGGUUCUCUGGGCCUGUACUGACGCUGAGGAGCGAAAGCGUGGGGAGCGAACAGG